GGUAUGCUUCCGGAAAAUUUGCAUAAAACUAGCAAGUGAGCUUUAUUCUCUGCACAAUUCUAAGCACUCCUUGCCAGUUUAAGCAAACAGAAAUGGUCUUUUUUAUUACUUUUGUGACUUUUGUGACUAUCUAAAGCCGGUCCUUUAGAUAGUGAGUUUUGGACUUGUCUAAUAGAUGGCGUGAAAGAAUAUUGUGUUGAUAUGUGUUGCUUAUGGCGGCUCGUUGUCAACAGUUCUGUCAGUUCAGCUACAGCUAUUUUCUUCAAAAAUUACCAAUGAAUUCGUUGAAGAAAAUGUGAAAGGGGUAUGAUGCAGCCUACUGUCAACUAUUGUGUUGUAAAUCCUGGGAUCCUACUGAAUGUGUCAUACAAAUGACAGAGGAUUCAUCAUAAUUAUCGACUGAUUCUAUUAGACUUGCACCAACCCCAGCAUGGACCAAUCUCUCAUUCCAUCUUCUAGAGAACCUUGGAUAACUGAUUAUUGGUGGUUUUGUGUGUCGAGUCAUGUCCUUUGAAGAAAAAGGACAAUGACUAAACAGUCAACAAGGUCCUUUGUUUGGUAACCCAUUGGCUGCUUCCCUUGAAUAUCCCUUUUUACUUCCUGAAACAGGCCCUCUUGAUUUGAGGGUAACUCCUUCGCCACUUAUUGUGGACUUCAUCCUCGGUGAAAACUGAUAACAGAAAGCUGUAAUUCAAGACUGAUAGUUGUUUGAUGUCUAAGCCGGAAGCCUACUAUGGUUAAUCGCUCUCGUAAUAACUGUUCCUCAACUCUUCGCUCUUUUUCCGGUUUCUCUUAACCAUUGGCCAUGUCUUAACCGUUGUCCCUGGCUGCAGUCAAUUAAGGCAGUAUCUCCCCCUGUCUUGAUUGUCUGUAUGUGCGAGUUUCAAAAGCAGUUUAUCACCCAAAUGAGACAAAAAGGAGUUUGUUAGGUUUGUUUUAUUUGGGUAUAAAUUGCUUUUAAAUUUGCACAGAACAACAUUUGUCUUGUACCGGACGCUUUGUUUAUUAAAUUUUC